GAUGAACGCUGGCGGCGUGCCUAAUACAUGCAAGUCGAGCGAACGGACGAGAAGCUUGCUUCUCUGAUGUUAGCGGCGGACGGGUGAGUAACACGUGGAUAACCUACCUAUAAGACUGGGAUAACUUCGGGAAACCGGAGCUAAUACCGGAUAAUAUUUUGAACCGCAUGGUUCAAAAGUGAAAGACGGUCUUGCUGUCACUUAUAGAUGGAUCCGCGCUGCAUUAGCUAGUUGGUAAGGUAACGGCUUACCAAGGCAACGAUGCAUAGCCGACCUGAGAGGGUGAUCGGCCACACUGGAACUGAGACACGGUCCAGACUCCUACGGGAGGCAGCAGUAGGGAAUCUUCCGCAAUGGGCGAAAGCCUGACGGAGCAACGCCGCGUGAGUGAUGAAGGUCUUCGGAUCGUAAAACUCUGUUAUUAGGGAAGAACAUAUGUGUAAGUAACUGUGCACAUCUUGACGGUACCUAAUCAGAAAGCCACGGCUAACUACGUGCCAGCAGCCGCGGUAAUACGUAGGUGGGCAGCGUUAUCCGGAAUUAUUGGGCGUAAAGCGCGCGUAGGCGGUUUUUUAGUCUGAUGUGAAAGCCCACGGCUCAACCGUGGAGGGUCAUUGGAAACUGGAAAACUUGAGUGCAGAAGAGGAAAGUGGAAUUCCAUGUGUAGCGGUGAAAUGCGCAGAGAUAUGGAGGAACACCAGUGGCGAAGGCGACUUUCUGGUCUGUAACUGACGCUGAUGUGCGAAAGCGUGGGGAUCAAACAGGAUUAGAUACCCUGGUAGUCCACGCCGUAAACGAUGAGUGCUAAGUGUUAGGGGGUUUCCGCCCCUUAGUGCUGCAGCUAACGCAUUAAGCACUCCGCCUGGGGAGUACGACCGCAAGGUUGAAACUCAAAGGAAUUGACGGGGACCCGCACAAGCGGUGGAGCAUGUGGUUUAAUUCGAAGCAACGCGAAGAACCUUACCAAAUCUUGACAUCCUUUGACAACUCUAGAGAUAGAGCCUUCCCCUUCGGGGGACAAAGUGACAGGUGGUGCAUGGUUGUCGUCAGCUCGUGUCGUGAGAUGUUGGGUUAGGUCCCGCAACGAGCGCAACCCUUAAGCUUAGUUGCCAUCAUUAAGUUGGGCACUCUAAGUUGACUGCCGGUGACAAACCGGAGGAAGGUGGGGAUGACGUCAAAUCAUCAUGCCCCUUAUGAUUUGGGCUACACACGUGCUACAAUGGACAAUACAAAGGGCAGCGAAACCGCGAGGUCAAGCAAAUCCCAUAAAGUUGUUCUCAGUUCGGAUUGUAGUCUGCAACUCGACUACAUGAAGCUGGAAUCGCUAGUAAUCGUAGAUCAGCAUGCUACGGUGAAUACGUUCCCGGGUCU
rnacentral:rRNA from 1 species